rnacentral:rRNA from 1 species
AAUAGAUACCCUGGUAGUCCACGCCGUAAACGAUGAGUGCUAAGUGUUAGGGGGUUUCCGCCCCUUAGUGCUGCAGCUAACGCAUUAAGCACUCCGCCUGGGGAGUACGGUCGCAAGACUGAAACUCAAAGGAAUUGACGGGGGCCCGCACAAGCGGUGGAGCAUGUGGUUUAAUUCGAAGCAACGCGAAGAACCUUACCAGGUCUUGACAUCCCAUUGACCACUAUGGAGACAUAGUUUUCCCUUCGGGGACAACGGUGACAGGUGGUGCAUGGUUGUCGUCAGCUCGUGUCGUGAGAUGUUGGGUUAAGUCCCGCAACGAGCGCAACCCUUGUUCUUAGUUGCCAUCAUUUAGUUGGGCACUCUAAGGAGACUGCCGGUGACAAACCGGAGGAAGGUGGGGAUGACGUCAAAUCAUCAUGCCCCUUAUGACCUGGGCUACACACGUGCUACAAUGGACGGUACAAACGGUUGCCAACCCGCGAGAGGGAGCUAAUCCGAUAAAACCGUUCUCAGUUCGGAUUGUAGGCUGCAACUCG